CUCCUAAACACCUGAUGCAAAGAGCUACUCAAGCCUAAGCCUAGGAAUCCUUUCAUCAUGUGGAAAACAACAUUUUGUGGAGAUAGUUCAUUGCAAGAGAAAGUUAACCUUCAACUGUCAAAAAGCUUCUGGGCGCUUCUGGGGGCCACGUAGAUGAGGGAACAGUGUGCUGUCAACUUCUUUCUCAGAGGGACACGAAGGGUCCUGAAGACUAACGGCCAGGACACAUUCGGCUGUCAGAAGUGACUCUGGCAGUCAGACAGCUGAGGCUGUGGGGAGGCUAUGACUGCAACAGGAGCCAGGGGCCCAGGAGGUGUGGUCGAACACCUUGUGUCCCAUGCAGGCAGAAAUUACCACCCACCGGGUCUCCGGAGUUCCAGACCUGGACCAGGUUGCCUGCCCAGACUACCGCCCCACAACGGACAAUUUCGUAGGCUCUUUCCUGUGGCCCAUGGACUAAAAUUCUUGAGGAGCAAACAAUGGUUUCAGAAGGACAUCACUUGUAAAGGGGUUUGGGAGGCUUUAUGGAAUGGCACAUGUGGGACCAGCCUUGGCGACACAGACUGAAG